GCAAACAAUAAAAUACCAACAAUAUGAGCUAGCACAUUUGAUUAUCAAACCAAAUAUUAAAACAACACAAACAUCACUUAUAUUCUUACAUGUUAUAUCAUAUUAUUACAUUGCAAGACCACAAAACAUGAAAGCAUAAACUUCUAUACACAAAAACCCCCUUCACCAUACCCUUCACAUAACCAUCAAACCACAAAAUACAAAUUCACAAGCGUCAAAAACCCAGACCAAACCAAACAAAUCUUCACCAAAUCACCCGCAGUCCGGUUAACCCGCCCAAACAUCUUCAAACAAGACCACAUAGUCGCCAUCUGACCCAAACACACCAACAAACCCAACCUAGCCGCACCCAUCUUAAAAAACACCGGGUCCCAAGCCAGGCUCAGCCCCAACUGCCCCAAAUAAAACCCGACCGCACUCGGGUUCUUAUGAAACCCCCCUUCAGCCCAAACAAGCCAAGCCGAUAAACCCAUAAUAAAAGCCGAACCCAAACAUGUUAAAUGUAGAGCCCAUAACGGUGGGACCCAGAACGGUUUGUGGAUGGUUCGGUAGGUUCGGUUCCAGCCGAAGAUAGAUAUGUUGGCUAAGGUUAGAGCUAACGGGAUCGCGAUCCCGACAGCCAGUGAGCGGAUGCCACGUGUCGGGAUACGUUGUUUUUGAGUUUUUGUGUUGGGUUGAAGGGUUGGAGAUUGGUCUUCUGUGGUGGUGGUGGUGGCUCUGUGUUUGAGUUCUUGUGAGGUGGAGUCCAUGGUGCCACGUUGGAUAAUGUUGUUGAGAUUAUGCUGGAUGAGUUUUUUUUUAUGGGGUGUUUAUAGAGGGUUUUUCGCGGGAAGAUGUGCAUGAAUAUGGCACGUGGCGAGAGAAGGUGGUGAGGAGUGGUAAGUUGGAUUAGGGUUUGACACGUGAAAGAGUGUAGUGCCACGUGUAUGUGUGGGUUUGUAGGAUGUGGUCAAAUGCAUUAUCCACUUACUUUACAUUGACGGUCAAGUCUCAUCUUGGUGGUUGCGGUUGUGUUCGUCGAUGGUGGGCAUUUCAUACAUGUAGAGCUUGAAGGAUAUUAUCCAAUGCCUCCCCCAAACCUACUCUGGACAGCGAACAGAACAGAGCGCGCAACAGCCUGGCAUACAUUAUUGGGUCGUCUCGGUGACAUUCGGUUUUUAACGUGAUGUAACGCAUAUAUUCAAUACGUACUUUAGUUGUAAUUAUUUUAAAGUUGGUUUAGAAAAAAAGUUAAAAAGUUGACUGAAAUUGUUUGAUUUGAGGGUAAAAGUAAAAAAAGUUUGACUUU
rnacentral:lncRNA from 1 species